AUUGAACGCUGGCGGCAGGCCUAACACAUGCAAGUCGAGCGGAUGAAGGGAGCUUGCUCCUGGAUUCAGCGGCGGACGGGUGAGUAAUGCCUAGGAAUCUGCCUGGUAGUGGGGGAUAACGUCCGGAAACGGGCGCUAAUACCGCAUACGUCCUGAGGGAGAAAGUGGGGGAUCUUCGGACCUCACGCUAUCAGAUGAGCCUAGGUCGGAUUAGCUAGUUGGUGGGGUAAAGGCCUACCAAGGCGACGAUCCGUAACUGGUCUGAGAGGAUGAUCAGUCACACUGGAACUGAGAAACGGUCCAGACUCAUACGGGAGGCAGCAGUGGGGAAUAUUGGACAAUGGGCGAAAGCCUGAUCCAGCCAUGCCGCGUGUGUGAAGAAGGUCUUCGGAUUGUAAAGCACUUUAAGUUGGGAGGAAGGGCAGUAAGUUAAUACCUUGCUGUUUUGACGUUACCAACAGAAUAAGCACCGGCUAACUUCGUG
rnacentral:rRNA from 1 species